AACGUAGGUACCGAGCGUUAUCCGGAUUUACUGGGCGUAAAGCGCGUUCAGGCGGUUUGGCAAGUCGGGCAUGAAAUCUCUCGGCUCAACCGGGAGAGGUUGUCCGAUACUUCCAGACUUGAGGGCAGUAGAGGGUGGUGGAAUUCCGGGUGUAGUGGUGAAAUGCGUAGAUAUCCGGAGGAACACCAGUGGCGAAAGCAGGUACCUGGACCAUUACUGACACUCAGCUGCGAAAGCUAGGGGAGCAAACAGG
rnacentral:rRNA from 1 species